UCAGCUUCUUGGCCUUUUGGCUAAGAUCAAGUGUAGUAUAAAAAAAUCAACUGCACAUAUAUUAGAUGAUAAAAACUUGUUUUUGGCAGUUCAUGUGGAAAAAAAAUAAAGGUUUAACUGACCCAGU
rnacentral:snRNA from 1 species